UUAAGAAUUUUUGGUACACUCGAC
rnacentral:siRNA from 1 species